GAUGAACGCUGGCGGCGUGCUUAACACAUGCAAGUCGAACGAGAAUCAACGGAUUGAGGAUUCGUCCAAAUGAAGUUGAGGAAAGUGGCGGACGGGUGAGUAACGCGUGAGGAACCUGCCUCGGAGUGGGGAAUAACAGUUGGAAACAGCUGCUAAUACCGCAUAAUACAACGGAAUCGCAUGACUCUGUUGCCAAAGAUUUAUCGCUGAGAGAUGGGCUCGCGGCCGAUUAGGUAGUUGGUGAGAUAACAGCCCACCAAGCCGACGAUCGGUAGCCGGACUGAGAGGUUGAUCGGCCACAUUGGGACUGAGACACGGCCCAG
rnacentral:rRNA from 1 species